GCCUCGCUAAACGAUGCACACCUGUAACUCACGUGACCCUGAUUAUUAUUGAAACGAGAACGAGGGCGUCGUGCCUUUAUAAGACUGCGUUAAUGUUUCCGUGGAGUUAUCCCUUCCGGCGUUGUUGUUUAUUGAUUGUUAAACAUGGCUUCAUUUGCAAAGGUGUGUGUGUCCUCAUUGCGUGUGUCUGUAAUGCAUUCUGUUUUCCGAAGAGAGAUGUGAACUUUAAGGCCUCUGCAGUUGACCGCCAAAGUGAUGAUGUGGUUGUCACCACAACACCCGUUCCCCACAACCAGACCACAUCUGCCCAUACUGAAGCUGGUGGUGGUGCAAGUGAAGAUGCUGUGGCUACUACCCCAGCACCUAAUCCACACAACCAGACAACUUCUGCACAAACUGAAGUUACUGAUGGAGCCAGUGAAGAUGCUGUGGACCGCCAAAGUGAUGUGGUUGUCGCCACAACACCCGAUCCCCACAACCGGACCACAUCUGCCCAUACUGAAGCUGGUGGUGAUGCAAGUGAGGGUGCUGUGGCUGCCCAAACUGGAACUACUGUAUCCCAUACGACUGAAGUCUGAUUCGACUGCUCCUCUGGUCACAAUGACCUGAGUCACUGUCUGGACUUUUUGCCUCUACAUGUUGACUGCAAUAAAGGACAGAUUUGUUUUUUGAAUCAAAUGUUGUCUUGCCUUUUUCAAAUUGAGGCCUUGUCCUGUUUUGGUGGUGGAGAUGACUAUGAAGCCUCUUUCCUAACGUAUUUCCGGUAGUGGUUUUACUAUAUGCUUCAUGCAACAAGGCCUUUAACGACUCUACAAUUUAAAAGCAUCUAGUUGUGUCAAUUAGUAAAAUGGUUGAACUGGUAGUGAUGCACUAUAAUGGUGAACUGCUUGUGGCAUUUCAAAAAUCU
ensembl:lncRNA